GGCUCAGUAGCAGAGGGUCUGCAUCUACUUCAAUGCAGGGACUCCUUUCUGAUGGUGCAGAUGCCUGUUCGACUCAGGCCUGAGCCA